UACGUAGGGGGCAAGCGUUGUCCGGAAUCAUUGGGCGUAAAGAGCGUGUAGGCGGCCCGGUAAGUCCGCUGUGAAAGUCCAGGGCUCAACCCUGGGAUGCCGGUGGAUACUGUCGGGCUAGAGUCCGGAAGAGGAGUGUGGAAUUCCUGGUGUAGCGGUGAAAUGCGCAGAUAUCAGGAGGAACACCAAUGGCGAAGGCAGCACUCUGGGACGUGACUGACGCUGAGACGCGAAAGCGUGGGGAGCAAACAGG
rnacentral:rRNA from 1 species